CAGGCCUAACACAUGCAAGUCGAACGAUGCUUUCGGGCAUAGUGGCGCACGGGUGCGUAACGCGUGGGAAUCUGCCCCUUGGUUCGGAAUAACAGCUAGAAAUGGCUGCUAAUACCGGAUGACGACGUAAGUCCAAAGAUUUAUCGCCGAGGGAUGAGCCCGCGUAGGAUUAGCUGGUUGGUGUGGUAAAGGCGCACCAAGGCGACGAUCCUUAGAUGGUCUGAGAGGAUGAUCAGCCACACUGGGACUGAGACACGGCCCAGACUCCUACGGGAGGCAGCAGUGGGGAAUAUUGGACAAGGGGCGCAAGCCUGAUCCAGCCAUGCCGCGUGAGUGAUGAAGGCCUUAGGGUUGUCAGAGCUCUUUUGUCCGGGACGAUAAUGACGGUACCGGAAGAAUAAGCCCCGGCUAACUUCGUGCCAGCAGCCGCGGUAAU
rnacentral:rRNA from 1 species